rnacentral:rRNA from 1 species
CUACGUGCCAGCAGCCGCGGUAAUACGGAGGAUGCGAGCGUUAUCCGGAUUUAUUGGGUUUAAAGGGAGCGUAGGCCGGGGAUUAAGUGUGUUGUGAAAUGUAGGCGCCCAACGUCUGACUUGCAGCGCAUACUGGUUCCCUUGAGUACGCGCAACGCCGGCGGAAUUCGUCGUGUAGCGGUGAAAUGCUUAGAUAUGACGAAGAACCCCGAUUGCGAAGGCAGCCGGCGGGAGCGCAACUGACGCUGAAGCUCGAAGGUGCGGGUAUCGAACAGGAUUAGAUACCCUGGUAGUCCACGCUGUAAACGAUGGAUACUAGCUGUUUGGUGAUAAGCUGAGUGGCUAAGCGAAAGUGAUAAGUAUCCCACCUGGGGAGUACGCACGCAAGUGUGAAACUCAAAGGAAUUGACGGGGGCCCGCACAAGCGGUGGAGCAUGUGGUUUAAUUCGAUGAUACGCGAGGAACCUUACCAAGGUUUAAAUGGAGACUGACAGGUGUAGAGAUACG